AAAAAAACGAAAACGGCACAAGCGAGCACAAUUCGAGGACAACUCGGCACAAGUCGCAGAUCUUCGAAUAACGGUACGGUAAGGGAAACUAAAUACGGCACAAGUUAGCACAAAUUGAGCACAAUUCAGCACGAUUUGAAAAAAGUUGAUAUUCGAAAAGUGCUGGGCUGGUCGUAAUUUGGUUUUUUCAAAAUUCCUGGAAAACUGUCGAGGUUGAGAGAUCAAGUUUUACGGUACAAGUGAGCACAAAAGGAGCACAACUCAGCACAAUUUUUAAAAAUAUUAAUUUCGAAAAGUGCUGGGCCAAGUUCACACACAUAAUGAUUGAUCCUGUUAGCUUGUAUAUCGAUCGAUAAGAAGUGAUUCUGUGGUUUCUUCCCAUAAAAGUAUAAGAAUACAGCAGAGGAGCUGUAAGCUUUCGUGCAAGCAGAAGUGUCUCCUUACCAGAGAAAGAAAAUCAAGGUUUUCGAAUGCCACCGGUGAGAAAAGGAUUAUUGUCUUUAUAUUAAAUGUGCAGUUACUGAGUAUGUGGUGUAAACGUUAAUAAGGAAUUGCGUCAAAUUAGAGAUGUUCAACAUUUAUGAAUGGAAAUGAAAAUUUGCGAGAAAAACAACGAAAUGCAUAUGGCACAACCAAUUGCCAGCGUCGGAAUGAUGGAGUAGAAAUAAUUCAAGCCUGUUUGCUACUUGUAAAAGACAAUGGCGCAAUAUUUCGAAGAAAUCCGAAUCAAACAGACGCAAUGCAUCUAUUGUCAUAAGCCAGUGUGAUACAAAAAUUCUCUUCAACUCUAUUUUCCUCAUUCCUGAGUAGUGCGUGUUGGCCUUGCUGUGGCGUCAAAGUUGAAAAAUGUUCAAUUACCUAGAGGUCCCGGGCCUGCACUGCUCGACGGCAGUAUGGAAGAACGGGACAUCUCAAAUUGUGCUAGAAAAACGUGACAUUUCAGAUUGCGCCAAAAAAAGGUGACAUAUGAAAUUGUGCUAGAAGAUUGUGACAUCUCAGAUUGUGCCAGAAAAAUGUGACAUCUCAAAUUAUACCAGAAGAACGUGAUAUCUUAAAUUGAGAAAGAAGCAGAAUGAUUGUAGUGAAUUGCUCCGACAGUUCAAUCCUAAUUACAAUCAAGAUUCCUGCUCACCUAUUUAUAGGCUUUUUGGUUGUGUAACGAUAACGCUGAUUGGCUGGACAUGUAUAAUUCUACUUUGCCUUCUGUCUCUUGUUAGCCCCGCAAACUAUUUUUGUAUAAUUGGUAGUUGCAAAUGUACUCUUUUUUGUUUAUUACUUCUAGUUUCCUUUCCCAUAUACCACUAUGUAAAGUGUUUUUGCUUUUCUUUUUUUAUGAAUGUAAAAGGAUGCUUUACCCGUUGAACAAUAA